rnacentral:lncRNA from 1 species
GGGGCCGGGGAUAUAUAGCAUGAAUGCGUUUGCUUUAUGUGUUAAUCAAAGGUCAAUUUCCUUGUAUGGAACAUGCCCAUCUCACAGAAAAGUCUUUCUUGUUAUUUGCAACGAAAAAAAGACACAACAACUUUAUAAGUCUUUGGCUCUUUUGCAUUGCUUUUCUUCAUCGACUUUUCUUUCAUCCUAGGGGUCAAAAUGAUGUUUAAGGGCUGAAACUUUCCAAGCCUAACAAUAUUUUUUUUGGUUACUGAUUUUCCAAGCCUAACAUAAAACAUCGAAAUGAUUCCUCAAAUGUCAGAUAUAGAAAGCAUCAAAACGUUUACUGCU